rnacentral:misc_RNA from 1 species
UUAACUAUUAUAUAGUACUCAGACAUCACUAAAAACAAGAGUUGUGGUCCUCUGGCAGGCACUCAGCAGCCGAAGCCGCUGGCACGAGGCGUCCUGCCAAAGCAACAAAGGUAAUUUAUUCAAGGGUGGAGGUCUGAACCGAGCUUCUCCGAGAGGCUCGACGUCUCUAAACCCUCCGAGGAGGGUGGCCCCUAGGAUUUCUCCCAGGGCGCUGACUGCUCAUUGCUCUAUUAAUGAUCCUUCCGCAGGUUCACCUACGGAAA